rnacentral:lncRNA from 1 species
CAUCAUGUGAACCACCUCAAGCUAUCCUUUUAUACAGAAGUGAGCUGGUCUGUGAAUGGUCAGAGGGAAGUAGCACAAACAGAGAGUAACAGAGCUUUUCGACAUCCACAAAGUAUGUUAUCGAAGCCAAAGGGGGAAAGUCUAAAUGGAUUUGAGGAGUUCCCGUCAUGGCUCAGCAGAAACAAAUCUGACUGGCAUCCAUGAGGACACAGGUUUGAUCCCUGGCCUCAGUGGGUUAAGGAUCUGGCGCUGCUGUGAGCUGUGGUGUAGGUUGCAGACGUGGCUCGGAUCCUGCGCUGCUGUGGCUGUGGUGUAGGCCAGCAGCUGUACCUCUGAUUCGACCCCUAGCCUGGGAACCUCCAUAUGCCACCUUAAAAAAAAAGAAAUGGAUUUGAAUGCCACUAAAUGAUUUUGAUUUGGGUGGACCUGGGUGCACCCACUGUAAACCUGGAUACAUUUCUAUAUACAUAUGGGAUCAAAGACUAUAUAUAGAAUAUACUACUUACAUAGUGCAUAAUAUGCCAAUAUCUAAUAUCACAUAUAAUUACUAUAUUAUAUACUACAUAGACGGUGUAUAUUAUAAAUAAUGUUAAUGUAUAAUUUUUAUUUAUUAAGCUGUAAUGUAUAUAAGUGAAUGGAGGAUGGUAGGUACCUAUAUCAGAUCCUUCACAACUUUAGUAAUCACUCGACCCAUCUGACAUCUGCACAAGCUUUAGAAACAUCCGCUACACCGUGGUGUCAGGUGCCAGGUGUCAGGCUGCAGGACAGCACAGCCUGGCAAAGAAGGCCACCCCCCCCCACAACCGCAUUCAAUCUGGUUGAGAUUAAGAACCUACGCGCAUGUGCUGCUGCAUUUAAGCACAGAGGCCCUCUGCAUUUCAACUCACCCCUCUACAUUUUUGUUCAAAGAAAUUAGGCUUGUAAAUACUUGAGACAAUUUUAACAACAAAGAAAGGCCCUCCAUCCUGCUUUUGAGACAAGACAGACAGCACAGAACAGGACAGACGGCUGCAAUAGUGUCCCGACUGGUCUCUCAGCUCCACGCUGGCCCUCCCACAAUCCAUUCUCUGCACCACUGUCAGAGCCAUCUUUUCAAAAACCAGCUCAAGCCACUGUGUCUUCACCCCCUCUACAGCAGCUUCCCAUGUGGCUUGAAACAAAAUCCAAACUCCUUACGAUGGUCUACGGGAACCGGACCACUGCCUGCCUCUGCAUCCCUUUCCUGCCUCUCUGCAUCUCUUUUUGCUCUCCCCGUUGCUUCUGAUUGAAUGCACCAGCUUUGUGUCUCUGCCUUUAGUGGUCAGGCCUCCCCCUGCCACAGGGCCUUUGCAAUUGCUGUUCUCUUUGCCAGCAACACACUUUCCCGGGGCUGGCUUCUUCUCAUGCGAGUCCAGGCUCAGAUGGAAUCUCACCUGAAGCCUCCUCUCUACGCCUCUGGCCCUCUCUCCCAUGACACUGUUUUAUUACUGCAGAAGCACUCAUACCAUUUCCUGAAACUUCCUUACAUAGCCGGGUGUGUGCACUGGGUUUUGGCUGUCUCUCUCUCUCUCACUUAGGUGCCAGCACCAUAAGGGCCGUGUCCUUCUCAGUGUCCUUCCGCGCUGUAUCUCCAGAUCUUAUGACACUGCCUGGCACUUAGGUGCUCAAAACUUUUUUUUAAAUGGGCUUCUUGAAUGGCUUGGCUCACACCGCUCUGAACACUAAAGACUAGUUUUAGGUACUUCAUGAUGACUGUUCUCCUAGGUAAAGAUUUUACCGUAUUCAAAUUCAUUGCUACAGGCACAGUCCACACGUUACAGACAGAACCAGGCAGUGACUGGCAGCCCAGUCCAUGACUCAGUGGGAUGGGCAGGGCAGCAAUUAGUUACACGUUCUAGUGAGGUGCAGUACUGGCCAAGCAGCUCCUCCCAAGGCAUAAGUUAGCUAUUUUUAAAACAGUUUUAUUAAGACAUAAUGUGUAUACCAUACAACUCACCUAUUUGAAAGUGUACAGUUUGAUGGUUUUUAGGAUACUUACAGCAUCGGGCAACCAUCACCACUAUCUAUAUCCGGUACAUUUUCAUCAUUUUAAGAGGAAACCGCUUCCUCAUUAGCACGCAUUCCCCAUUUCUCCCCAAUCCCGCCUCCCUGUCUCUCUGGAUCUGCCUGUUCCGCACUCUUCAUAUAGAGAAAAAUAUACACUAUGUGAUCCUUUGUGAUGGGCUUCUUUUACUUACCUUAAUGUUUUCAAGAUCCAUCCAUAUUUGUCUGUGCAUUUGUUCUGGCCGUGCCCGUGGCAUGGAAACGUUCUCUGGGUCAGGGAUGGAACCUGUGUCACAGCAGCCUCUGCAGGGACAAUGUUCGAUCCUUAACCCACUGAGCCACACGGGGACUCCAGGAUCCAACCGUGUUGUAACUGUGUCCAUACCUUAUUCCUUUCCAUUGCCAGAUAUCCCAUCUUACUCAUCCAUUCAUCCGCUGAAUGGACAUGAGAGUUAUUUCCAUUUCUGGGCUAUUACGAAUAUAUGCUUUCAAUCAUCUUGGGAACAUACUCAGGGGUGGAAUACCUCUAUGUUUAUCCUUUUGAGGAACUGCCAGCCUGUUUUCCAAAGGGACUGCACCACUUUACAGUGGCGCAUUAGCUCUUGAGAGCCGGUCAGCUCAGCCAGCAACACAGCUCGUGGAAGAGCCAGCCACCAGGAUGCUGGGAGGGCUGGUGAAGGAAGUGGCGGUCCCUGCUCAACAAAAACCUGAUUGUUGUAAUGUGAAUGGAGAUUUGAUGAUAUAACAAAGUGUUUCCCUGUUUGUGGUCUGGGAGAGGGUUUUAGUGGCACAGGGACAGGCAUUAAUCACUAAGAAUCCCAAAGUGAGGACAUAAUGGUCUUUUCAUUGUCCGGUCCAUCCUCGUGAUUAGCCAAGGAAGAAAGUCUCAGUGUGACGCUAAUAUGUCUUUAGCACCUCUCUAAUACUUGCAAAUCUCCCUUUGGAACCAAGAGGGAGCAGGUCACCCGCUCAUCAGAGCCUUCCACGGGCCACACCAUUUAGCUAGAAUUUAGCAUUCUAUUUUUUUUUAUUAUUUUGAAAAAUGAUUACCGUCCACUUACGGAAUAUGGCAUUGAAUUUUUCACUUAUAACCAUGAUACAGUGUUUUCUUUUACAUGUUUUAUUGACAGUGGAACAAAAAAUAAGCCAUAGUAAUAAUCUUACGCGGGCCAUGAAGGAAUUUAAAAACAAUAAAGGCUCUUAGCGGUGUUAACGGCUAAGUAUUUUUUGAUGUGUUUACAAUGGGACACUCCCAGCUUUAAGAAUUUUAGACCCAAGCAACUUUGGUCGAUAUUCACAGCGCUCCUCCUACAGAUGAGGAAACUGAGGCUCAGUACCUUGCUCAGAUCACACAGAUAGCAAGUGGCAGAGCUGUGAUUUGCACCCAGGCAGUCGGGACCAUGCCUCUUGUUAUGAAAGCGGCAUGUGAGUGACAGAUGCUUGGAAAGCCCAGGAUUGGUGGUGCAUUUGGAGGGCCGCCAGCUCGCAAUGGCUUCUGAACUGCCUUUUCCCCACCCCCUUCCCUGGGGUGGGGUCUGCAGGCACCUGGCCUGAACUAAAAGGCCACAUUCUUCCCACUACUGUUGAGUGAAUCAGGGGCAAGAAUUGAUGCAGGCUGGGAAAAUCCAGCUCCUUCCUGAGAAUGUGGAGUGAGUACUGAAAAAGAUGUGAUCCCCACAUGGCACUGAAAUAUAUGUCAAACAGGAGCUGUGAGCAUCCGAUGGAGCCAGUCUAUAAGAAAGAGGAAAUGAAGAUGUGUGCGGAGAAGCAGAGUUGAGAGAUGGGACCUUCAUGGGCUCCCAGGGCUUCCUCUUCUUAGUCCUGGGCCUUCCUGAUGCCAAGUCAGGCUCUUAGUCCUGGAGUGUCUGUCUGUGUUCUUUAAUAAAUGCUCUCCCUUUUUUUUGGGCGGGGGCUGCACCCCUAGCACAUGGAGGUUCCCAGGCUCUGGGUCAAAUCAGAGCUGCGUCUGUGACCUACACCCCAGCUCACGGCAAUGCCGGAUCCUUAACCCACAGAGUGAAGCCAGGGAUUGAACCUGCAUUACUCCUGAGCCACGAUGGGAACUCCCCCCCUCUCAAGCCAAGCUCGCCAGAGCAGGUUUCUGCUUCUUUUAAUGAAAACAAAUUUUCAUAAGAAAUGCAAACGAUACAUGGAUGCAAAAGGGGAAAGUAAGGAAAUCAAGAUUUACAGGAGGAGCUUUCAGGAAAUGAAAGGAGUAUCCUCAAGAGUAGACCAUUCAUUCAUUCAUUCAUUCACCCCAGCUAGUAUAGGUCGGGCACCUCUCAUAUGCCAGGCACCCUUGCCAACCCCAGUAACACCAGUGCUGAAUGUGACAGAAAGGCCUGCACUCUCAGGCAGCUUCUCUUCUAGGUGAGUCAGGAGAUUCCUGAGGUCCAUACAUGUGCACUGGCAACAGUGAAUCACCUUAGAUUUUUUUGGUUGGAAAAUGAUCUGAGUAGGCCUCCAUUUUAGGAGAAUGACUCCUAGACAUGUUUAUAAGAAAUGGUGAGGACGCUAGGGGCAGGAAAAGGGGCAAGAUUCUGAUCAGAGAUGGAGGAACUCUAUGAUACAAUCUUAUCAGAGGCAGCAGAGCAGCAGUAAAAUAUAUGACAUGCUUAUCCUGUGCCAGGCACUGUCCUAGGGACUUUACUUUCACCAUCUCAACGUAGCCUCACAAACCUAAACGUUAUGAUCCAUAUUUCAGAUAAGUUCUCCAGUUAAAGGAAAAAUCAAAAUGGAAAGGAUAGUCUAACUAGAACUGAACCAGGAGAGCUGAGUGUUGUACAUGAAGAUCCAUGGGAUGAAAGACAAAGCAGUCUUCAGAGGGAAAUGCAUAGCUUCAAAUUGCAUUUGCUAGAAAAAAAAAAAAAGAUGUAUAUACAUAAAAGGUAAUAAACAUUUUAACUCAAGAGAUGUGCAAAGAAAAACAAAAUAAUUUCAAAAAGGAAUGAAAAAAAGCAAUGAGUAAAGUCAAAUGCAAAAACUGGUAAAAAGAGAACCCCCAAAAAGGGGGGGAUUGAUUAUUUCACAGAUGAGGAGGCUGUUAAGUAAGUCCUCCAAGGCUGGUACUUACCAAGGGGCAGGGGAACUGAGACUUGAACCUGGAUCUCUUUAGACUUCAGGGCAUGAGUUCUUAACUACAGUGGGUUUGGGGUAUAUGGCCUUGCAGAUGAUGACCAGUCUUCUUUCGUGUA